UGUUGUGGUGGGAGGGAAUUUUGCCCGUUGUUAUUUUUCAUUGUUUAUCGAACGUCGAACUAUUUGGGUUCAGUGAAUUGUUUUCUUUAGAUUACAAAACCAAUGUGAAACAGUGCCAUUUGAAAGUUAUCGACAAGAAAACUCGUAAUCUUAUUGAUUUGUAAAAAAUAAUCAGCUGAUGUGGUUUGGCAGUUUUUCGUGUACAGGAUUGCCAAAACUAUGAUUAUAAUCAAUCGACGUUAUUAGAUGCGGCAAUUAAGAUGUUUCACACAUCGGAGCCUAGUUAUUUAAGCUAUUUGUUAUUGUUCAUAGCGACCUUUGUAGUAGUUAGUGCAGACAAUGCAAAUAUCACAAUACCGUUGAAUAAAACAAUAACUUUAGCUGAUAAGGAGCUGUAUGGAGACUUUGUUACAAUAAAAAGCAAUUCUGUGAUCCGGUUAAGUCUAACAGAUAUAAAUAAAUAUGUUCGUUUUAUCAUAUUUCAAGUACAUAGCCACCUGUACAAUGUUACUCUCUACAACAAUACAUUAACGCAAAACUCCUUCAUAUCGGGAACAAAUAUUGGCCUAUAUGGAAAAGUUAAACCUCCGGAUACUUAUUAUGUUAUAAACAAUAAUACAAUAGACAUAAAGUUAUACAUUUCCAUACAUGGAUAUAGAAGUUCUGAUCCUAUACCGGGUGGAUGCAAUCUGGAAUUCCCACUCUACAUUUCCCCGUUCAUGUACGUAAAGUACACCAAAGAUAUGAUCUCAGUCGAUGCUUCAUCGGCCCAACAUCCUAAGGAUCCAGAUUGUCUUGGAGUAAAUAAACUGAUUACUAUGAAGUUCUAUAGGUUGUAUCUGUAUGAGAGAAACUUUGGUGAAGACAGUUACUUUGAAGGUCUGAGAAAUAUGAUGACGUUGGCUAAGAUUCAAGAGAAUGGAGAUGAGGUACCACAAACCUUGAGGAUGAAGUUUCUCCGACGUUUACUGGGUGCAUAUCCCGGUACAGGGUCCAUAUACGUAGCAGUCGCUUAUCAUAUAUUGAACAAUAGUGUUUAUUCCAUUUAUGUGCCUACGCACACUUACGCCUGUUCGCCGUUGGAAGGAUGCGAAAUUCUUGAUGACAUAACAUCCCAAUUCUUCUGUGCUGCGCUCUUCUUCAUCGGUCUCUUCAUUUGUUACUUCGGCCAUAGAUUCUUCACGACAGAGAUGUUUUUAGUCGGCAUGUUUUCUGGAAUCUUAAUAACAUACACGAUAAUACCCAUGUGGACUGAUUUGGAUCGACCUGCACUGCUAUUCGCCUCAGGCAUGUCAGGAAUAUUCAUGGGGGCUAUAUGGUUGUUAUUCUGGUGGUUCUACGGGAUCCCUGUGUUGUCUGUGUUCUUGUCUACCAUGUAUCUGGGGUAUGUUUUGGCUGCCAUCGUGUAUUAUAGGGCUCCAGCCGGGCCGACAAUAUUCGAAAACGACGGCACUUUCUGGACUAUCUUCGUAGUCCUGAUGCUUCUAACAGCUGUCUCGCUCUCUCCCGUGACGUACCUGUCUAACAUACUAUGCUGCGCGUUCCUCGGCGCAUACGCCACAGUCUUCGCCUUAGACCACUAUAUCGGCUCGAAUUUGAAGUACAUUGUGAUCAAUACCAUGAGGCGUGCCGUGGUAGAGAGCUUCAAUAAUGCUGUAUUGGCACCACCGUAUCAGUGGAGAGAUGCAAUAGCAACUCUGCUCUGGGUACUCCUGGCGACCAGCGGUUUCCUCUUCCAGCACUACCACAACCGCGGAAAACCGCCAUUCCCGCCGCCACCUCGCAGCAUCAGCACUAGAAUGCCUGAACCUACAAGUUACGGGACUAUUGGGAACAGGGGACGACGUCGCAACAGGACUAUAUCACAACAAUCGUACUUGCCUAUGCGGAUGGAUCGCACCAGUUACGAGGACCGUCUUAGAUUUAGACGAGCCUCUAGAAAUUGAUACGAGAAUUCGUAUAAAGCGAAUACCGAAUUCGUAUAAAACGAAUAUCGAAUUCGUAUAAAUAAACAGGAACUUGAGUGUGGAGACAGGCGGAGACCCGACAAUUGUGGAUUACAACACCAAUGAACGCACUCCUUUAUUGUAAUAACCUACAUUGAUAAGCUAACAUACAAACAAUAUUAUCGGUAAAUUAUAUUUACCUAUUUAUUUUAGUCGUAAUAGUUUUUAACUAGGUAUUUUUAUUGUAUUUUUUUUACGUACAUGCGUGCCUAUAAAGAUUUUAAUUGCAUGCUACAACAUUUGCGCGUAUCGUUUGCUUAAAAUUAUGAACAUUUUCAAUCGAUCCGUUGAAACGUUUUUGAAACUAAAAUAGAAACUUUUCUAUUCUCGUCAAAUACGUUCGAGAUUUAAUUAUUAGAUAGGUGUACUUACUUCCUGCGAUCUCCAAAGUGUAUUACGAUCCCUUUAGUGUCAUCUCGUUUUUUUCACCACAUAUUUCUUUUACAAAAAAUACAGUACUUACCUAUACUUUUUAUGCAAUGGCAACACCUUAUUCUUCUUCGUCUGCUUGUCUACUCUUUUCUGUCUGUGGCUAAUACGCUAAAAAUAAAAAAUAAAACACUUUUCUUUUUAACCUUUCCAUUAUCUACUGUUCUUAAAAUAAUUUAAACUUUUCAAAUCAUAAUAGAUAACGAUAUAACGAAAUAUAACGAUAUUACAACAAAAAAAAACUAAUAUUUUGGUCUACUACUUCGUCUUCCUAGUGUCAUAAUAAAUAUUUAGUACUAUAUUUAACGAGAUAAUUUUAAUUAAUAUUUUAUAAGCUGUCUCGAUAUCACAAUUUGUCUAGAAAACCAAAUAUAAAUAAUAUCGCAAGACUGCUUCAUGUGAUGUUUUUGUAAGCAUAGCAUUCCCAUUUAAGGAUCAAUAAAGUUUUAUCUUUUGUAUAAA
rnacentral:misc_RNA from 1 species